rnacentral:rRNA from 1 species
UGAACGCUGGCGGCAGGCUUAACACAUGCAAGUCGAGCGGGGGAAGGUAGCUUGCUACCGGACCUAGCGGCGGACGGGUGAGUAAUGCUUAGGAAUCUGCCUAUUAGUGGGGGACAACAUCUCGAAAGGGAUGCUAAUACCGCAUACGUCCUACGGGAGAAAGCAGGGGAUCUUCGGACCUUGCGCUAAUAGAUGAGCCUAAGUCGGAUUAGCUAGUUGGUGGGGUAAAGGCCUACCAAGGCGACGAUCUGUAGCGGGUCUGAGAGGAUGAUCCGCCACACUGGGACUGAGACACGGCCCAGACUCCUACGGGAGGCAGCAGUGGGGAAUAUUGGACAAUGGGGGGAACCCUGAUCCAGCCAUGCCGCGUGUGUGAAGAAGGCCUUAUGGUUGUAAAGCACUUUAAGCGAGGAGGAGGCUACU